UGGGGAAUUUUGGACAAUGGGCGCAAGCCUGAUCCAGCCAUGCCGCGUGUCUGAAGAAGGCCUUCGGGUUGUAAAGGACUUUUGUCCAGGAGCAAGACUUAGAGAUGAAUAGUUUCUAGGGGUGAGAGUACUGGAAGAAUAAGCACCGGCUAACUACGUGCCAGCAGCCGCGGUAAUACGUAGGGUGCGAGCGUUAAUCGGAAUGACUGGGCGUAAAGAGUGCGUAGGCGGUUACGCGAGCUUGAUGUGAAAUCCCCGGGCUUAACCUGGGAAUGGCAUGGAGGACAGCGUAGCUAGAGUCUGUCAGAGGUGGGUAGAAUUCCCUGUGUAGCAGUGAAAUGCGUAGAGAUGGGGAGGAAUACCGAUGGCGAAGGCAGCCUGCUGGGAUAAGACUGACGCUGAGGCACGAAGGCGUGGGGAGCAAACA
rnacentral:rRNA from 1 species